UGCAGGAUUUCUUUGGUUGGGCAUCAAAAAGUGAAAAGGUCAGAUCCUGAAUGCAAGGAUGGCAGUGAAACUGAGGAUGAUGAAGAGGAGGACGACGAUGAUGCUGCAGCUGAUGAGGACGAUGAUGCUGGUGAUGAGGAUUUUUCAGGUGAGGAGGAAAAUGAAGACGAUGAUGAAGAUGACCCUGAGGGUGGUGCAGAAGCCAAUGGUGAUGGUGGGAGUGAUGAUGACGACGAUGAGGACGAGGAUGACGAGGAUGAGGAGGGUGAAGAUGAGGAUGAAGAAGAAGAGGAUGAAGAUGAUGAAGAUGAGGAGACUCCACAGCCCCCUUCCAAGAAAAGAAAGUAAUUGUGAGUUUUUAGAUUUAGGAAUUGGUAGGGUAUUUGUGUUUUAGUAGGGGAAGGUUCUGCUGGUUCCAUUUGGUCAUAGAGUAGGAAAACAUGGCAUUGUGUUAAAUCAACUCCUCCUUUUGUGUUGUUAUGUUACAGUAGUAUAUCUAUAUCAUGUUCUAUCUAUUUAGGGUAUCCAUUAUUAUCUUCAAUCAUUAUCAUAGGAAUUAUAAAUUGCAGUGAAGAUAGUAUAAGUUGUUUGAUCACUCUCUUUGGGAAAGUGUGUUUGGAUAUGCUACUUGUUUGUUUCUGUUGUAUACAGAAGUAAUCUUAGAGAGAAUUACUGCCUCC
rnacentral:lncRNA from 1 species